rnacentral:rRNA from 1 species
ACUUACCUUUUGUUGCUUCGGCGGCUCCGGCCGCCGGAGGUCAAAAACUCUGUCUUUUAUGAAUCUCUGAGAAAAAAACAAAUAAUCAAAACUUUCAACAACGGAUCUCUUGGUUCUGGCAUCGAUGAAGAACGCAGCGAAAUGCGAUAAGUAAUGUGAAUUGCAGAAUUCAGUGAAUCAUCGAAUCUUUGAACGCACAUUGCGCCCGCCGGUAUUCCGGCGGGCAUGCCUGUUCGAGCGUCAUUUCACCACUCAAGCCCAGCUUGGUGUUGGGGCACCCGGUCCGCCGGGGCCCCCAAGUACAUCGGCGGUCUCGCCCGACCCUGAACGCAGUAACUCGCGGUAAAACGCGCUUCGUUCGGCGGCUCUGGCGCGCACCUGCCGCUAAACAAACCCCAUAAGGUUGACCUCGGAUCAGGUAGGAAUACCCGCUGAACUUAAGCAUAUCAAUAAGCGGAGGAAUUUC